GGCCUCCCAAAGUGCUGGGAUUACAGGCGUGAGCCACCGCGCCCGGCCUCACUUAGUCUUUUACCAGUUCAUCUGAUUUUUACUUUGUUCCCAUUUAUAAUUCAAAUAUAAUAUAAACGUCUUAUUCAUUUAGUCUUCAGCAUUUUAAGUAUUCGACACGAACAUUAAAGAUUUGGUGUUGAAUUUAAUAAAUUACACCAAAAAGUCUCAGUAGCCAAUUCACUAACAUCUUUUGAUUUGGUAAUCUUCACAGAAUCAACAACUGUUAACACUUCUGUGCAAAUAAAUUUCAGUUGUGCUUAUAUAUUAUAAUAUUCACUUUAGGAAUCCACCUGUCAAUUUGCAAUUCAAUUAUAAGGUAUAUUUUAAGUGAUAUCUAUGUAUUGUAUACACAUAUUCCAUUGAAAGGUGAGAAUAAUUAGAAAGUAGUAAUAUAAAAAUGUGUAUGAAAUAAGAACUUUCUUAAAAGACCUAGUUUAGCUAAAUAUAUGACAAUAUAAAAUGUCUGCCCAAUGUUUUAUUAUACUUUGUCUAAUGACCUUUAAAUUUAACUGAAAUUAAAACCGUACUUUUGCAGUUGAUAUUUUUGUGUUCCCUUUGUUAACAUACCAAGCACUAAUUAUUGACUUCAAGGAAGCCACGUAUUGCAAGUCAUUGCUUAGCCUUUCACAUCUGAGUGUUGAUAAGAUGACGGAAUGGGUAGUCUUGUAGUAAUUGCUUAUGGGAAUGCUAGUUUAAGAGGAAUGCCUUGUAUAGAACAUAUUAUACCAGAUUGACUUGUUAAAAAUGGUUCCAAGAAUCAGUCUAAAAACUUCAGAAUUAUGUGAAUUAUUUUUUCUCUGUUGUGAUAUGUUGUAAUGAGAUGUGUGUUCUUAUAUUUUCUUAGUAAAAUUUUCUUAAGCAUAAAAUGCUU
rnacentral:lncRNA from 1 species